AACCGCGUAGCUCAGUUGGAAGAGCAUUGGGCUAGUAUUCCAAAGGUCGUAGGUUCGAAUCCCACCGUGGCGG
rnacentral:tRNA from 1 species